AUGUAUGUAUGUAUGUAUGUAUGUAUGUAUGUGUAUAUAUAUAUAUACAUAUGUAUAUACAUGUAUUUGUAUGUCUGUUUAUACAUAUAUAUGUAUGUGUAUAUAUAUAUAUACAUAUGUAUAUACAUGUAUUUGUAUGUCUGUUUAUACAUAUAUAUGUAUGUAAAUAUAUGUAUAAAUAUAUGUAUGUAUGUGUAUAUAUAUAUAUAUAUAUAUAUAUGUUUCAAUUUGGUGUUAAAAGUGUCGCACGCUUUGCCAAAGUUUCUUCCUUAUAUGUGGAAGUGAUGACUUCAAUGAAAACAGCUUUUAUUUGGUUAAAAAUUUAAUAAAUUUGCAAAAAAAAGUAAUUUGGCAUUUUUAUUUAUUUUUGCGGGAAUCGAAAAUACAUAUUUUUUUAAAUUUUAUAUAAUCCCAGGGCUGUUUGUGUCCCACAGCUAAUUUUUCCCAAGUAUUCCAAAAAUAAAUAAAGUAUUAUAAAGUGUUUACAAAAAAACGUGAAAAGUUUCUUAUUGACACUAGUAACACAAAUUUUACCAUGCAGGCAGUUUAUAUUUAAAAACUGUCAUUGCUCAAACAAUUAUAAAAACGUAUAAUCAACGAAUAGAUCUGAACUUGAUCUCUAUAUUUCAGCAUUGAAAGUAGAAAUAAUAUAUAUUGGUAUGACUUACUGUAACACUGCAUAAAUGACACCUUUCGUCUAAAGAUUUAUUUAUUUAAAAAAAAUAAAUGAACCAAAAGCAAUAUUAUAAUGAAAUAUUUGUUCAAUUAAGGCUCUAACUACUUCACAUCAAAUAUUCCCUUUUGAAUAUUUUCGGGUGGCAAAUAUUGCAUAUUUUGUGUUUUUCCUUUUGAAAAAAUUUAAAAUGGUUUUGACAAAAAGGGUAUAAAAAAUAUUUAAACGGAUAGAUGUGAAGUUGAUGUACAGUAUAGAUAUUUAGGCGUUUAAAGUCAAACAAAAUACAUUUAUGACUUAUUUAUUUAAGCUUGAAUGACUGAGACCCUUCUGGGUCCCCGGGACCGAUUAAAGUUUACCAAAAGUGAGUGAAAGGUAAAAUAUAUAUUGUCAUGGAUUUGAAAAUGACAAAUAUCAAAAUGGCCACCACAUGCUUUCAUUUUUCAGUAAGUUUGUAUUUCCCUGCACUAGAUGAGUCAUUGUCUAAUUUGCAUAAUUGGCCGUGACGCAUGCUAAGAAAUACGAUUUGUUGUUUGUUUUUCAAUAUUUUUUUAUAUAUUUUUUUUUACAAGCAUGACAGAGCAGCCUGUGAAUGCUAAGCAGUUACCUAUUACUUAAGUAAUCGAGUAAUCUUGAUUAGUUUGGUCAAUUAAUGGAGUAAUCACACUUUGUACUCUCAAUGCGUAUUUUAGGGGAAAUUGUUUGAAUAAACAUAUUUUUCUGCUUGCCAUAACCUUCAUUUUUUUCUUUAAUAAAUGCAUAUUGUCAACAUUAAUGUGUGCAUGAGUAAAACACUCUAUGGUUAAAGUUUCAGGCCCUGUAUUGGCAACAUCGACGUCUUCUUAUGCUCUGGCAGACCAAGUGUGUUGGGAAGCAGAGUUGGAGUUGUAAUGACCAGCUGUGUUCACAGACAGUCACCUGUGUGAAGUUGGCCCCGCCCACCAUUGCAGAACCCUCCUGACGACGAGCUCGCUAAAAGCCUCUGCGAGCAUCGGAAGGAAGAACGCUGACAUCUUUCAGUAGGAAAAAAAAAACGAGCACAUUUAUUAUUCAUCAGUAUAAAAUAUUUAUAGUCAUCUGAAAAAAGGUUGUGCAACGCGAACAUACGUCCGAGCAUGUGCAAAAUAGUAACGUUUCAAGUACGCCUCAUUGGAUCCGGACCGUGUCACGUAAAUCGCCUCUUUAACGAGCGUCUGCUGGAGCGACGGCGGGCUGAUUGACGCCAGGCACAAACAUGAUAGUCCAAGGUGGCCGCCGGCCAGGACAGUCCAGAACGUUCUGCUGAUAAGGGAGGAGGAGGAGGGGGAGUAUUGAAGAACGUGCGCUACGUUUUGGCAUAAAUUGCUACACGUCCACCGGGGGGUGCAUGUUCGCGGCGUGCGUGUGCUGCCUGCGCGGGCAGCAGGCGUGGAGCAGCACCAUGCGGAUGUCUUUGUUCCUCAGGCUGUAAAGGAGCGGGUUGAGCAAGGAGCUCCCCGCGGCGGGCACCAGCGUGGCGUAGGUGUAGAGGGGCGGGCUGGAGGCGUCGCCCAGGAGCCCCCACAGGGAGAAAGGCAUCCAGCAGCCCACGAAGACGCUCAGCACCACCACCAGCCGGGAGAAGCCCCGCCCCCCGCCGCGCUUGCUUGCAUACGGUUGGUCGGCGGGCAGGAAGUGCCUCUGGGUGGCGAUGGCGUGCGCGUGGCGCCGGGCCACCCGGCAGAUGCCGGCGUACAGCUGCAAAGUGGCCAGCACCACCACCAGGAAGCCGCCGCACAGCAGCGACAGGUACGUGCGAGUCAGAGGCGGCGCCACCGAGCAGGAGUCAGGCUGGUCCAGGCAGUGCCAGCCCAUGGCGGGGCCCGCCCCCAGGAUGCACGCCCCCAGCCACACCAGCAGCAGGAGCAGGAUGGCGGCGCGGCGGCGCGACUGUCCCGAGCCGUAGGUGAGGGCCUGGCUUAACGACAGGUAGCGGUCCAGGGCCACGCCCAUCAAGCUGCACAGCGAGGCGGUCAGGGAGGUCACCAGCAGCCCCGACGUCACCAGCUCGGACCAGUCCCCGGGCUCCAGGCAGAAGAGGAAGAGGAAGCGCGCCACCAGGGCCACGCCCGCCAGCAGGUCGGCCAGGCCCAGGCUGGCCAGCAGCAGGAAGACGGGCGCCCGCAGCGACGGCGUGGCCAGGAUGGUGGUGACCACCACCGCGUUCUCGGCGGCGAUGAAGGUGCCCGACGCGCACAGGGCCACGCCCCACGCCGUCAGGGGCGGGGCCCCCCGCGGAGGCGACGUCACCGACGAGUCCGCCGCCAAGAAGGCGUCCGCGCCUGAAGACUCAUCCCAGGUCAGGUCAGAGGUGUUGGCUGUCAUGGCUGCUCAGCAGUCCACGCCUGGCAGGAAUAAACAACAUCAAUCGUCUUUUUACCACGUGAUUAACUUUUACAUCAGUCAAUGACGUGCUUACAGCGUUUAUCCUUAAAAAAGACCCCAAUAUUAUGCUCUUUUAUGCUUGAAUGUACUUAAAUUUGCUCAAAACUCGUAAAAAGCAUGAUCUAUAGCAGUGGUUCUUAACCUUGUUGGAGGUAUCGAACCCCACCGGUUUCGUAUGCGCAUUCACCAAACCCUUCUUUAGUGAAAAUGUUUUGUUUUUUCAAAUUAAAAACAAAGUUAUGUCUUUUUACUGGUGCACAAAGAGAACCGUGCAAGAACAUCACCUUGUUCAAAGAACAAAACCAACACAGUGCAUGAACUCACAACAAAUUACACACCUGGUUUCUGCUGUUGCCGUAUCCAUAAUACGCCGAUAAGGAGAAUUUUUUAUUUACAUGAUUAGUUUGGUGUGUUUUGACCUCCGCGACGGAGGCUACGCCGAACCCCUGUGGCCGACUCACCGAACCCCUAGGGUUCCAUCGAACCCAGGCUAAGAACAACUGAUCUAAAGUUCUGUUGGGGUUUGUUUAGACGCAACAUUUUGACAAUUGACCUGAUCUCUGACCAUCCAGUCGUGGUUGAGGUACAGCAGCUCAAAUUAAAGAAUAAAAUACAAUUAAAAUGCGUAAUUAAUGUGCAAUUAUACAGGAUUAAUGCUCUAUUUUUAAUGAUUAAUAACCUAAGUUAACUUGUUUUUUUUGACAGUCCUAGUAAAAAAAAUUAAUCUGCAACUAUGUCGUAUUGAUGCCUUAUUUUUUGUAAUGAAUCGCAUGAGUUAACUCGUUAUGUUCGACAGCCCUACUAAAAACAUAUAUUUUUUUAAAUAGAUAAAAAAUGCAGGAUAAAUCUGCAACUAUAACUCAUUAAUAUUUAAUUUUUUUUGUGAUUAAUGACACCUAUUUUUGUCAGCCCGAGUAAAAAACUAUUAAAAUCAAAACGAAGCAUAAUGAAUCUGCAACUAUACCUGAUUAACACGAUAUUUUUGUGAUUAAUCAAAAGCUUUAUGUUUGACAGCCCUCGUUAAAGAAAUUAACGUAAAAUGCGUGAUUUAUCUGCAACUACACAUGAUUAAUACGAUCAUUUUGUGAUGGAUCACAUGAGUUAACUCUGCUUGACAGCCCUAAUAAAAGAAUAGUUGAAACAAAAAUUUUGAUUAAAACAUGUAGUUAAUCAUUUUGUUGCGUUUUUUGUUGUAAUUAAUCAGAUUAGUUAACUUGUUACGUUUGACUGCCAUAGUAAAACAUUUUUCCCAAAAAAUGUGGGAAUAAUCUACAUGAUUAAAAUAAAAAAAAUCGAUUAAUCACACAUUUAUUUUGUCAGCCCUAGUAAAAAAAAUCAGAAUAAAACGUGAUUAAUCUGCAACUAUACAUGGUUGGUAGGAUAUUUUGUGAUUAAUCACAAGUUAACUCUUUGACAGCCCUCGUUAAAGAAAUUACCCAAAAAUUAAAGUAAAAUGCGUGGUUAAUCUGCAACUAUGCAUGAUUAAUACGAUUAUUUUUGUGAUAGAUCACACAAGUUAUCUCUAUUUUUGUCAGCCAAAAGGAUUUGAAAAAACAACAAAAUAAAAGGUGUGAUUAAUCUGCAACUGUUUCUGAUUGAUGUGAUGAUUGUUGUGGUUAAUCACAUGAGUUAACUCUUCGUGUGACAGCUCUAGUAAAAAGAAAAGUUUUUUAAAGUAAAAUUGCGUGAUUAACUUGCCACUUCACAUGAUUAAUUCAAUAACAUGAGUUAUUGAAUGUGCAGCUCAGGUAAAAAAAAAAAAUCAAAUUUUAAAUCAAAAUAAACCAUGUGCAACUACACCUGAUUGAAGUACGUUUUAGUGAUUAAUCAAAUGAGUUAACUCGUUUGUUUUUUAAUAUUCAUUGUUUGGCAAAUUUGUGCAGAGGUCAGGAAAAAACAUGUUAAACUCACAGCGGCUCAAAAUCUGUUUUAUGAUCCAGGAUUGUUUUUUCCCCUCCCAGCUUGUAAUUUUAUGAGUCAUGAACAUACUGUCCAGUAAUAGUCCUCCAAAUAAAUGUUGUGUAACCGCC